rnacentral:rRNA from 1 species
AUUGAACGCUGGCGGCAGGCCUAACACAUGCAAGUCGAGCGGCUCGGCGUCCGGGUAAGUAAUGCCUAUGAAUCUGCCUGUUCGUGGUGGAUAACGUCCGGUAACGGGCGCUAAUACCGCAUCCUAUCAGUUGAGCCUAGGCCGGAUUAGCUAGAUGGUGGGGUAAAGGCCUACCAAGGCGAAGAUCCGUAACUGGUCUGAGAGGAUGAUCAGUCACACUGGAACUGAGACACGGUCCAGACUCCUACGGGAGGCAGCAGUGGGGAAUAUUGGACAAUGGGCGAAAGCCUGAUCCAGCCAUGCCGCGUGUGUGAAGAAGGUCUUCGGAUUGUAAAGCACUUUAAGUUGGGAGGCGUUACCAACAGAAUAAGCACCGGCUAACUUCGUGCCAGCAGCCGCGGUAAUAC